ACUACGGGUGGCAGCAGUAGGGAAUUUUGCGCAACGGGCGAAAGCCUGACGCAGCAACGCCGCGUGAACGAGACGCCCUUCGGGGUGGAAAGUUCUGUCAGUGGGGACGAAAGAUGACGGUACCCACAGAGGAAGCAACGGCUAACUCAGUGCCAGCAGCCGCGGUAAUACGGAGGGUGCAAGCGUUGUCCGGAAUCAUUGGGCGUAACGAGUUCGUAGGCGGUAUGUUAAGUCUGGUGUUAAAUGCAGAAGCUCAACUUCUGUUCGGCACUGGAUACUGGCAAACUAGAAUUCGGUAGAGGUAAAUGGACUUCCUGGUGGAGCGGUGAAAUGCUUAGAUAGCAGGAGGAACAUCGGGGGCGUAAGCGCUUUACUGGGCCGUAAUUGACGCUGAGGAACGAAAGCCAGGGUAGCAAAUGGGAUUAGAUACCCGGGUAGUC
rnacentral:rRNA from 1 species